rnacentral:rRNA from 1 species
AUGGAUUGCAACCGCAAAAUCAUCUUUUGGAAUGUCCGCGGUCUCAACUUCAGGGCCAAACGUACGGCCGUCCGCAGCGUGAUCUCCACUGCUGCCCCCACUAUCGUGUGCUUACAGGAGACAAAACUUGCGCAUGUCACGGACUCGACCGUCCUUGAUACCCUCGGCUCUCCAUUUGAGGACUUCUUCUUCCUUCCCGCCGCUGGCACUCGCGGUGGCGUGCUU